UCCCUGGAGGACUAAUGGUUAGGCCUUGGCGCUCUCAAUGCCGUGGCCCGGGUACGAUUCCCAGCCACGGAA
rnacentral:tRNA from 1 species